UGCACUCAAACCCCCCUCUAUCUGGUCCUUUAUCACCUGUUUGCCUCAGUCUGAACAUUCAACCCUGCUCAAGGCUGAACACUUAACCCCCCAUUGAGCCAACAAGGCAGCUUGCAGACCCAGAGGCCCCAUUAGAUUUGGGCUAUAAAAACUCCCUCCUGCCAGGCCCCCCUCUCUUUUGCUAUCUCUCUUGCUUUCUCUGUCUCUCUCCUGCGUGUGCUCCCUCCCUCUCUCUCUCUUUCCUUCUUUCUUUUCUCCUCUGUUGCACUGCUGCAAUAAAGAUCUUGUGGUUGCUCUGAGUGUUGUGGUCACUUUCCUUUCAUUUGGUGCCGAAACCCGGGAGAGGGUUAAAACCCACUUUUGGGUCCCUCUUCCUUCGGAAGUGCCACUCACGGGACGGCCUGAACCCAUUUUCUUGAUCGCCAGAAAUCCAUGCACCACGGACCUUCAAUUGAUUAUUCCCAGGUUCGAACUUCCCACCUCCAUCAAGUCAUACAACAAUCUGGCCUUCACUUCUCAGGUUGUUCAACUAGUCUCCAAAGGUCUCAACAUCAUUUGGAGGGUCCACAUCUCCUAUUAACCCCAAUCCUUGGUUUUUAUCUCAAACCACAGAUACCUCUUCUACAUCCAAGCGACAUGACACCAGGAUGACACCACCCACUCUCAGUUUAUAGGUCAAGGAGAUUGCCCUUCCACUGGAUGCAAUCAGUCUGUCACCCUUAACAUUACUGGAUUCAACCAAGCCACCUCCAAUACUUCCUAGAGUCCCUGCUACAGGACCAGUGUCUGAUACCAAGAAUCUCCUCCAUCCAGGACUGGUUUGAUGCCAUUGAGGACUUGUGGCUUCAAGGAACUUUUAUGGACUUUACCCCUACCACAGUAGUUGUCUAUAGCCACUGAGUGUUAUUUCUGGCUGCCCUGGUGUUCUCAGACCUGUCCCCCGAAUAUUCCUCCACUCCCCCUUCUAGGUCCAACGCCACCCACCAUUAAGCAGGAAGUAGCCAGAGGACUUUAUGCUGUCCCCUGUGUCACUUAGAAAAACAAAAAGGGAGGAAUGUUGGGUGCAGAGCAGGCUGAACUGUGUUGUCUGCAGGGCAGGCUGAACAGAUGCUGGCUGCAAGAUAGCCCUUGCACUCAAACCCCCCUCUAUCUGGUCCUUUAUCACCUGUUUGCCUCAGUCUGAACAUUCAACCCCGCUCAAGGCUGAACACUUAACUCCCCCUUGAGCCAACAAGGCAGCUUGCAGACCCAGAGGCCCCAUUAGAUUUGGGCUAUAAAAACUCCCUCCUGCCAGGCCCCCCUCUCUUUUGCUAUCUCUCUUGCUUUCUCUGUCUCUCUCCUGCGUGCGCUCCCUCUCUCUCUCUCUCUUUCCUUCUUUCUUUUCUCCUCUGUUGCACUGCUGCAAUAAAGAUCUUGUGGUUGCUCUGAG